GAGCAGUGUCCCUUCCCCGAGGUGGUGGCUUGCUAAGGGAGAAGAGGAGUACUUUACCAGUGUGAUCAUUCAACUUUGUACACCUGAGAGUCUUUCAGAACACCCAUAUCAUGAUUAUGAUUUCACAACACCAUUUAAGGAUAAAGUGAGAAAAUAGGAAGUCACUAGUGUAAUGAAAAUAGUUACCAAACUAUAAGUAAAAUAGGCGACAGGAUUCAAGAAAGGAUGAGGUGGCAUCAUCAAGAGGGCUUACAAAGUGAAGUAAGAGAAAUGCAGGUCUGCAGACUUGCUGUGGGAACUUUGUGUCUGUAUGAGCCUCGAAACUGAAAUCUUGGCAUUGCUAAGGAUUGCUGUGGACCCUGAGACCUACACUGAGUCACAGGACAUAGGAACUCAUCAAGUCUCUGAUUUGGGGUUCUAUGGAGACACAGGAGGAGCCACAGAGUAGAGGCUUGACCUGGUCCUCAUAAGGGUAUCUUAUCUCAUAAGGGUAUCUUCUAUUAUACAGAUUUUGGUUUCUGUAUAAAAGAAGAGCCAUCUUCUAAGUGGGAUGUGUCAUUGAGGUGAAACCACUGGACAGCUAAGAGAUACUUGUCAGAUAAUAGACACAGGAAUGGAUCCAUUAUGUGGCAGUGGAGGCCCUUGCAGGGUAGAGAGUAUGGAUUAGUGUGAGAGCGAGAAUAGUCUGGCCCCUUUAAAAUCUGGCUAAAUGUCAGGAUAAGGUUCUCAUCAUUCUUGAUUCCUUAACUCACAAUAUUUUUCCAUACUUGUCUUUACAUAAAGUUUUCACUUUAAAACCAAGAGACAAAUGAGCCUUUCACUUGUGUAAACAGGGGAUGUGGACAACAGCAUUCCAUGGAUGCUAGAAAAUUAGAUGCACGUUAUAAAAGACUCCAUUGGGCACAGCAUACCCUGCACAGAACAAUCACAAAACAAGCAGAAAACAGCAACAGGCACAUCCACACACCUGCAGCCGCUCCCACACAGGCACUCCAUGUCUGCUCAAAGUGGGAGCUCACCCCCUAUCUCCUUCCUUGAAGCGUGCCUGCAUCCCCAGGGCUUCAGCCAGAGCCCUGUUAGAGGCCAUGUGUUGAGUGAGAAGAGGGAGCAGUUUCUGAAAGAAUCUGAGAGGAGAGAAGGGAGAUGCCAGGCAGCCCUAAGAGCUCACUGGAGUGGCCACAUGCCUCUCCUCCCUUAGCAUUUGCUUCUUGAAUGUGUACGGGGAUUCAUCAAUCCUUUAUCUAUCAUCUAUGCAUCAUUUACACCUAUCACCUAUCAUCAUCUAUGCAUCAUCCAUCAUUUAUGUAACACCUAUCAUCUAUGUAUCAUUCACCGUCCAUGUAUCAUCUAUCACUAAUCUGUCAUCUGACUUCUAUUACCUACCUAAGGUUUUUGUUUCCAAUCUCAGAAAGGCAAAACAUUUUUAAGACGAGUUAAUCUUGGAUUUCCUGAGAAAAAAAAAAUGCUUCCUAAGAUUCUGAUCCUUCCCCAAAGGGAAAAGCUGCUUACCAUAUUAGAUUUCCUCCCAGGACCGGGAUGCGGAGGCAGCAUGUGGCAAGUGUGUGGGUGAGACACUGAACCUCAGAUUAAGGUCUAGGACUGCAAGAUCUCACCUUUUUGCUGGCAGCGAUUACCAUGUCACCUGGGAGUGGUGACAGUGUCCUCAAGGGGACUGCAGAGGACACUGAGAAUCUGGGAUUGUGCAGAGCACUGACAGCUAUUGGAAGUGCUUAGUAUCCACUGGGAGUAACAGAAACGGAUGGGGAGACUUGUAUUUCAAGUAAACAAUAAAAAUUCCAGGGCAUGUGAGAAGAGGACCCUGAAAUCUAAAGACUAGAUAGGAUGCCAUCAGUUUCCUAAAGGGUCUUCUUAGCUGACGUGAAGCCUUCCCACAAAGUGCCUGAGGAAACGGUAGUGGCGUCCACUGAGGCAGCUGCCUUGCAAGAGACAACCAAUUCUUAUCAGUCUCAGUCACAACAUCCCUUUGUACCUCUAGAUCUACAACGAGAUGCAACUCCCAGUCAGCCUUUGAAGGACAAGUGUGCCAGUGGAGAGUUGAACUGCACUGAAAAAUGGUUUUCCUAAAUUAUACAGAAAUCCUGAAAACAUGUAGGGGAAUGGAUACUAAAGGUGGGAUAGUGAUGGGUAGAACAUGAAUCAGGCUGAAGUCAUUGAUCUUUUCCCACUAAGCAAAGAUGAUGCAUUAUCAUCUUUGAUUUCUGCCAACUUACUGUAGGCCACCUACACUCCAUGUUCCUGCCAACUAACUAAAUGAAUUGUGAGUCUGGUUCUCACAAUUCGUUUAGUUAGUUGGCAGAAAUAUGGA
rnacentral:lncRNA from 1 species